UACGUAGGGUGCGAGCGUUAAUCGGAAUUACUGGGCGUAAAGUGUGCGCAGGCGGCCGAGCAAGUCGAGUGUGAAAGCCCCGAGCUUAACUUGGGAACUGCGCUCGAAACUACUUGGCUAGAGUGUGGCAGAGGGAGGUGGAAUUCCACGUGUAGCGGUGAAAUGCGCAGAUAUUGGGAAGAACACCAGUGGCGAAGGCGGUUCUCUGGGACGGUACUGACGCUGAGACGCGAAAGCGUGGGGAGCGAACAGGA
rnacentral:rRNA from 1 species